AUCCCUGAAAGAUGAUCAGGUUGAUAGGUCUGAGGUGGAAGUGUGGCGACACAUGGAGCUGACAGAUACUAAUCGAUCGAGGACUUAACCAUAUUU
rnacentral:rRNA from 1 species